rnacentral:rRNA from 1 species
AUGAACAUGUGUUGUCGUGAUAAGGUGGAGAAGGGCCUUCUGCCCUUCAUGGCCCACAUGACGAUAACAAAUGCUCUUGUUGACAUGAAUGGCCUCAUGAUGAGGCUCUUGUUUGACCUAUAUGCCAUAACCAUCUUUAGUGUAGACUCAGCUCGCUUGUCCCUUGACAUGCCGGCAGUGCACGUCGCGGAUGCAAUGGACAUAGUCAUGGAAGUGGCCUUCCUCCAACACAUUGUGCCAGCAUUUUUUUGGAAGGUGAUGAGGCUCCUGGACAUUGGUCCGGAGAGGAAGCUCGCCUCCGCGCAAGCGGUGCUACGCUCCUUUACAAUGGACAUGGUCAUGAAGAGGAGGGGGAACAACCAUGUUAUUGUUCAAGAGGUACCCCUGGACAUUUUGUCCAAUUAUGUCAAUGACCCAAGAUACAAUGAUGAUUUACUCCAGGCAACUCUCAUUACCUACAUGAUCGCCGAGAGGGACACGAUCGGGACUACCUUGCUAUGGGUCAUCUACAACCUCGCCAAGAACCCACACGUCGUGUCGAGCAUACGUGAUGAACUAGCAUCUAUCAUAUCCCGCAGACAAUCCAUUGCAGGUGCCACCAUGAAGAUGUUGGAUCUAGAGGAGGUCAAAGCCCUAGUUUAUUUGCAAGCCACCAUACUGGAGACACUCAGGUUGUACCCGCCGAUCCCUAUCGAGCGCAAGUCUGUUGUCGCCAAUGAUGUAAUGCCAAGUGGCCACGAGGUGUGUGCCCGAGACAUCAUCGUCGUCUCCAUCUACUCCAUCGGUAGAAUGGAGUCUGUCUGGGGAGCUGACUUUCGAGAGUACAGGCCAAAGAGGUGGCUCUCAGAGGAUGGACGCCAGCUGCGACACGUGCCCUCUCACAAGUUUUGGCGUUUAACUCAGGCCCAAGGUUGUGCCUUGGCAAGCUGCCAAGAUAUUGCAAUCAUGUAG